rnacentral:rRNA from 1 species
AACGAACGCUGGCGGCGUGGAUAAGACAUGCAAGUCGAACGAGAGAAUUGCUAGCUUGCUAAUAAUUCUCUAGUGGCGCACGGGUGAGUAACACGUGAGUAACCUGCCCCCGAGAGCGGGAUAGCCCUGGGAAACUGGGAUUAAUACCGCAUAGUAUCGAAAGAUUAAAGCAGCAAUGCGCUUGGGGAUGGGCUCGCGGCCUAUUAGUUAGUUGGUGAGGUAACGGCUCACCAAGGCGAUGACGGGUAGCCGGUCUGAGAGGAUGUCCGGCCACACUGGAACUGAGACACGGUCCAGACACCUACGGGUGGCAGCAGUCGAGAAUCAUUCACAAUGGGGGAAACCCUGAUGGUGCGACGCCGCGUGGGGAAUGAAGGUCUUCGGAUUGUAAACCCCUGUCAUGUGGGAGCAAAUUAAAAAGAUAGUACCACAAGAGGAAGAGACGGCUAACUCUGUGCCAGCAGCCGCGGUAAUACAGAGGUCUCAAGCGUUGUUCGGAAUCACUGGGCGUAAAGCGUGCGUAGGCUGUUUCGUAAGUCGUGUGUGAAAGGCGCGGGCUCAACCCGCGGACGGCACAUGAUACUGCGAGACUAGAGUAAUGGAGGGGGAACCGGAAUUCUCGGUGUAGCAGUGAAAUGCGUAGAUAUCGAGAGGAACACUCGUGGCGAAGGCGGGUUCCUGGACAUUAACUGACGCUGAGGCACGAAGGCCAGGGGAGCGAAAAGGGAUUAGAUACCCCUGUAGUCCUGGCAGUAAACGGUGCACGCUUGGUGUGCGGGGAAUCGACCCCCUGCGUGCCGGAGCUAACGCGUUAAGCGUGCCGCCUGGGGAGUACGGUCGCAAGAUUAAAACUCAAAGAAAUUGACGGGGACCCGCACAAGCGGUGGAGUAUGUGGCUUAAUUCGAUGCAACGCGAAGAACCUUACCUGGGCUUGACAUGUAAUGAACAACAUGUGAAAGCAUGCGACUCUUCGGAGGCGUUACACAGGUGCUGCAUGGCCGUCGUCAGCUCGUGUCGUGAGAUGUUUGGUUAAGUCCAGCAACGAGCGCAACCCCUGUUGCCAGUUACCAGCACGUGAAGGUGGGGACUCUGGCGAGACUGCCCAGAUCAACUGGGAGGAAGGUGGGGACGACGUCAGGUCAGUAUGGCCCUUAUGCCCAGGGCUGCACACGUACUACAAUGCCCAGUACAGAGGGGGCCGAAGCCGCGAGGCGGAGGAAAUCCUGAAAACUGGGCCCAGUUCGGACUGUAGGCUGCAACCCGCCUACACGAAGCCGGAAUCGCUAGUAAUGGCGCAUCAGCUACGGCGCCGUGAAUACGUUCCCGGGUCUUGCAC